UCGAGCGGCAGGCAGCAAUGCCGAGAGCGGCGGACUGGUGAGUAACACGUGGGUGACGUACCCUUCAGACCGGGAUAGCCUUUAGAAAUAGAGGAUAAUACCGGGUACGGUCGCAUAUGUCAGAGAUAUGCGAGGAAAGGAGCUCCGGCUCCGCUGAAGGAACGGCCUGCGGCCCAUCAGCUAGUUGGCGGGGUAACGGCCCACCAAGGCAGCAACGGGUAUCCGGCCUAAGAGGGCGAACGGACACAUUGGGACUGAGAUACGGCCCAGACUCCUACGGGAGGCAGCAGGUAAGAAUAUUCCGCAAUGGGCGAAAGCCUGACGGAGCGACGCCGCGUGGAUGAUGAAGGCCGGAAGGUUGUAAAAUCCUUUUAUGACUGACGAAUAAGUAUGCGAGGAAAUGAGCAUACGGUGACGGUAGGUCAUGAAUAAGCACCGGCUAAUUACGUGCCAGCAGCCGCGGUAACACGUAAGGUGCAAGCGUUGUUCGGAAUUAUUGGGCGUAAAGGGCAUGUAGGCGGAAAAUCAAGCUUGGUGUGAAAUCCCGGGGCUCAACUCCGGAACUGCAUCGAGAACUGGUUAACUAGAGUCACUGAGGGGCAGCCAGAAUUCCAGGUGUAGGGGUGAAAUCUGUAGAUAUCUGGAAGAAUACCAAUGGCGAAGGCAGGCUGCCAGCAGAUGACUGACGCUGAGGUGCGAAGGUGCGGGGAGCAAACAGGAUUAGAUACCCUGGUAGUCCGCACAGUCAACGAUGUACACCGGGUGUCCGGCCAAGAGGCCGGGUGCCGUAGCAAACGCGAUAAGUGUACCGCCUGG
rnacentral:rRNA from 1 species